UUUACAUUCCAAGUCUUUGGCUGUGUCCGAAAUGGCAUACUAACGUACUACAUACUACAUACUCAAUGAGUAUAUACUGUAUACUCUGUACCAGAGCCCAAGAGAUAGUAAGAGUUGCGACACUCCCAUAGGGUGCCGUUGUACGCUUUCUUCCGGUCUACUUCCGGGUUGUGGAGGCUUGUUUAGUUCCAAGCACCGCUUCCACAGUGACAGCCACCGUUCAUUUGCACUGCAGGUUGUUGAGUAUAUGUGGAGUAUCCCGAGAGCCCUCACUGAAGACACGAAGACCCUCAUUGUUUCUCCCAUUGUCAAUAAAACAUACUAUUUCAUUCA